CAUAAGCCAACUGGCAAAUGUAGAUAUAAAAAACAAACAAAGAUGAAGGCUGCACUCUUUGGUCUUCUAAAUAAAAAUUGCAAACUGUUUUAUUCAAUAUGCAUUAAAAAGAAUUGAUCGACGUUUCAGCCCCAAUCUGGGCUUUCUUCAGGAUCAGAAAUAACAAAAAAAAAAUAAAAAUACAUGACAAAUAAUUCAGCUUAUAUAUCAUAAAUAAAAUAGUAAGACUCACCACAGCUGAUGUGCACCCCGCGUCCUAUCAAUCGCUAUGCACAUGCGCAAUACGGACCAAUCAGGGUUUGCUCGCGCGGAGCAUGUGACCACAGUCUCCAUUCACAUAAAGUACAUCUACGUGGGUGGCAGCAAGCAUAGGGCUGAUGUCACGCCCAUUGAUGGUACAAAUGCCGUCCUCCUAUCGCUGUGCGCCCUGGGCGCAUGCGCAAACAGUUGAUAUAAUAAGAUGUCCACGCAUAAUGGCCUUGGAAGCACACCAAUUAUUAAUUGGCGAAGUGUCCUGUAGAUUGUUGUCUAAGAAGAAAAAUUCUAUUUUCUGUUUCAAAUAUUCAUAAUUGCUUUCAUAUUUCAAAAGAAGAACACCACUAUGGGGAGGGGGGAAGAACACUAUGGGGAAGGGAAAGAACACUAAGGGGGAGAGAGAGAGAAACAUUUAGGGAGAGCACUAAGGUACAGGGAAGGGAAGGGGAAAUGAACACUGGGGUAGGGGGGGCACUAAAAGAUAUGGGAGAGGAACAUUAAGGGGAAUGGGUUGGGGGUGGGUGGAGUUCCAGUUCCUGUUCCUAGUCAGCUGCAGUCCGAACUCGCUUCCUAGUCAGCUGCAGUCCGAACUCGCUAUGCUCCUUCCAAGACCAUUGGCGUCCUUCGAGUCAGUGUGGAUUCAGCCUUGCUCGUCAUCGUUUCAUCCCCGCCGCGGUAUCUGUCCGCCCCUACCUCAGAACGCGGGUAUGGCGUGCAGACGUGCUACGUCAUCGCGCAUCCCCAAAAUCCAUGUGAUUUUAGAUGUUCCCGCAAUUUUUCACUGCGAUGAGAUCUUCCUUUACAAUACAGCCCUUCAGUAACCAAUAGUCUCUUAUGCAGAGACUCCUCAAAGCUGUUUGCUCAUUCCCUCUGGUGCUGUAAAAAAUAAAAAUAUAGUUUAAACUCACCAAAUCGUAACCGGAAAGCAUAUUACAAUCUACAUAUUUUAUAUUAUUAGAAACUACAAUUUCCAUGUUGAGGAUUGGAGGAGUAGAAAGAAUGAUAGAGCGCUUUUAAUUUUGACUUAAAGCAUCUCUGUGACACCCACAAAUUAAGACAAAAUAGGGACAACUUUAUCCGAAGUAUCUUUCCUACUCUUGACACAAGGCAGAGCUACCUGAGAUACCCUUAUGCAUGCCUGUGAGCAGAGCACUUCCGUUGGCUCCUGGCAGAUGAAGCCCCAGGAGUUGAAGAGGCCCUUGAGAAAGAAGAUGCAUACAAAGGACAUUUUAAGUCAAGUAAAAAUUACCUUCACCUGUUCUCCAUGGCCACUGGAAUACAAGUGGAACAGUGACCAUCUGGGGUCUUUGCAUAAUAUGUAAAAUACAUAAAUAAAUAUCAUCAAAAGAUGAAGUACUUUAGGGGUCCAUAGUAAUUUCAGAACUGGGUAUAAUGCAACAGAGGGUUCUGUUUUAUGAACCUGGUGAAUUCCUGCAUAGCCGCCAAUCAUAGAUGAUACACAACGGUCCUCUUAUUAAACAGAACAACGGUUUCCACCCCGAACUGGGCUACCAUAUCUAAAAUACAGAAAAUGAACUUAGUGUAUAAUGUUUUAAACUGCCUCCUUUAUCAAACUCUGAAUUUUAAUCUGGAAUGGAGAAAACAGUCUAACGCAGGCAUGUCCAAAGUCCAGCCCGCGGGCCAUUUGCGGCCAGCGUUUCCGGUUCAAUACGGCCCCACAGGUAGUUUGGCUAAUCUACCUGUUGUGGCCCCCAGUGAACCCCCGCGCCGGGAUUCAGUGGGGGGCCAAGAUAUCACAAAAAACGCAGAUGGGAGUGCAGUGACCUCAGUCUGCAUUCUCACAAUCUCUUGGACGUCAUGGGAUUCGCGGGAUUUGGUUCCUUCUCCCUGCAGAGAAUCGACAGAAUAAAAUGGGGCAGAAUACAGAGGGGAAGACUAAAGAAAGGCAGAAUACAGACUGCGUACAGAGGUGCAGACUGGCAGGAUACAGAGGGGCAGAAUAAAGAUUGGCAGACUAAAGAAAGAAGGGACAGAGUAAAGAGAGAAGGGACAGACUAAAGAGAGAAGGGACAGACUAAAGAGAGAAGGGACAGAGUAAAGAGAGAAGGGACAGAGUAAAGAGAGAAGGGACAGAGUAAAGAGACAAAAUAAAGAGAUCUCAGACAGAAGAGAUGAAAUGAAAAGUAUGCCGUUUGCAAUAAACUUUGCAAAAAAUUGUUCAUUUGCCUUACAUUUUUUAUGGUUCAAAGAAUGUCAGGCAAAAUGGUUGGCCCUCACGCAUGUUCACUUAAUCAAAUUUGGCCCUCUUUGAAAAAAGUUUGGACACCCCUGGUCUAACGUAUAAUAAUUUAGACGUGAUCAAACUGGGGAACUAUAUCUACAACACUUUAUCCCCCCACCCCCCGAUUAAAGUGACAUAUGGAUCCUGAUAAGUAUAAGCAGUGUUUAGGUGAUACAGUCACAAUAUAAGCAGUAUUCAGGUGAUACGGUCCCAGUCAGUGGCAUACACACAAUCCACGGGGACCCGGUGCCAAACUGAACCAUGGGCCCCCCCCCUUCCAACAGACACACACAUACAUACAGACACACAUACAUACACACACACACACAAGACACAUAUACAUACAAACAGACACAUACACACAUACAAAUAGACAGACACACACACAAAUAUACAAAAUAUUUAAGUCACCCUCCUGUUUCCUACCUUUUAAGAGCAGGAGGGUGACUUUCCCUGGAGUCCAGUAGUGGCUCAGUUUGAUGGGAGUCAGAGUUCCUACUUUGACUCCCUCUUCUCCUUUCUUCCGCGCGGCUCUCUGAUAGCUGGGAGGAGUGACCGGGGCAGUAACUUCCUCCCAGCAUGUGAUGUCAUCACAGGGGACUCGGUCACGCUGUUAAAGCACCCAGUGCUAACCGGGCCCCCUGAAAAUCCAUACCCAUCGGGUGGCCCUAACAGCAUGGGCCACCCGACGGAUCCCUUUAAAACACUGGGGCCACAAAACAUGAUGGCGGGCACUCUGUCGCAAGGGUUGCACAGCUGCGCCCCCUAUAUGUAUGCCACUGGUCACAGUAUAAGCACUGUUUAGGUGAUACAGUCACAAUGUAAGCAGUGUUUAGACAAUACGAUCACAGUGUAAGCAGUGUUUAGGCAAUACAGUGGUGUUUAGGCGAUAGAUGCGGUCACAGUGUAAGCAGUGUUUAGGAGAUGCAGUCACUAUGUAAGCAGUGUUUAGGAGAUGCAGUCACUGUGUAAGCAGUGUUUAGGAGAUACAGUCACAGUAUAAGCAGUGUGUAGGAGAUACGGUCACAGUGUAAGCAGUGUUUAGGAGAUACGGUCACAGUGUAAGCAGUGUUUAGGUGAUACGGUCACAGCGUAAGCAGUGUUUAGGUGAUACGGUCACAGCGUAAGCAGUGUUUAGGUGAUACGAUCACAGUAUAAGCAGUGUUUAGGCAAUACGAUCACAGUAUAAGCAGUGUUUAGGUGAUACAGUAACUGUGUAAGCAGUGUUUAUGUGAUACGGUCACAGUGUAAGCAGUAUUUAGGUGAUACAGUCACAGUAUAAGCAGUGUGUAGGAGAUACGGUCACAGUGUAAGCAGUGUUUAGGUGAUACGGUCACUGUGUAAGCAGUGUUUAGGCGAUACGAUCACAGAAUAAGCAGUGUUAAGGUGAUAAGGUCAUAGUGUAAGCAGUAUUUAGGCGAUAUGGUCACAGUAUAAGCAGUGUUAAGGUGAUACAGGUGCUUCAUUCUCCACAGUCACAGUAUUUUUGGUAACCACAUAAGUAUUGCAGUCCCUCACAUUGGUUCAAUUGGCACAUGGAUACACAUGUGAGCAGUAACGCCACGUCAAGGCUUCAACCCUUGUUACGGACCAUUCACACACCACUUUUCAUUCAUAGGCAUUCGGUACUCCAGAUGUUUUGGACUACACCUCCCAUGAUGCUUUGCCAGCAUUAUGGGAGAUGUAAUUCACAGCAUCUAGAGUGCCUAAGAUUACCUACCUCUGAACCAGACAGUGGUCACAGUAAACAAUGUUGAAGUCGAGUGCUAACUGGAGAAGCUUAUCACGUACCAGAUGCCACUCUGAAUUCAAUACUCUACCCUGAAUAUGAGCAUGAAACAUAGGCCUCUUCAUCCGCCUUGUGUCCCAUAGGAGAACAUGCUUGUCAGAGUUGUCACACACAAAAAAAAAAAAAAAUGGUUAGAGUAAAUGGCAUAAAAGACACAGUGCAUGCAGACUUGCGUGUCACAUAUAUACAGCAGUCAAACACAAAGAUUGUGGGAGCCACACAGUAAGACCGGAGGGCGUACUAUUACGCCCUAUUCUAAGCGGCUCUAAACGCCGCCGGGCGUAAUAGUACGCCCUCCGGUCUUUCGGUACUUACCCGGUCGCCGGCGAUCCCACGCCGGCGAUCGCGGUUCGGGGGACUCCCAGGGAGCCCCCCGCGGCACCUCCGUCCUCCUGGAAGCCCCCCGGCCAUGUGAGAGUGGGGACCCCAUAAUCACAUGGCCGGGGGUAGCUGGCUGCAGCAUUGCCAGCAGGGGGGCUGCCUCUAAUGACAGGUGGUCCCCCUGCUGGCUGAAAAUAAAAAUGAAUAAAAUAAAUACUGUAAAAAAGAAAAUAAUAUAUACUUAGAUCAUAUAUAUAUUAUAUAUAUAUGAUCUAAGUAUAUAUAUACACAUAUACAUACACACACGUACACCGUCUAGGUGUAUUUUACUAUUAAUAUAUAUAUAAUUAUAUAUAUAUAUUAUCAAAUUACACGUAGACUGAUACUGAUUAAAUAUAUAUAUAUAUAAUUAUUGUUAUAUAUAUAUAUUUAUAUAUAAUAUAAAAAAAGUAAAUACGUUAAAAAAUAAAAUUAAAAAAAUAAUUAAAAAAUAAUAAUUAAAAAAUAUAUAGAUGUGUGUUAUUUCGUUCUAACUGUAUUGUGAAAUUAAUAUAUAUAUAUCAAAAUACACGUAGAACGAAAUAAUAUAUAUAUCUAUAUACAUAAAUAUAUCACUAUAUAUACCUAUAUAUAUAAAUAAAAAUAUUUUUUAAAAAUUAUAUAGAUAUAUACAUACGUAUAUAUAUAUACAUAUAUUAAUUCUACAUAUAUAUUUAUGUAAUAUUUUUACAUAAUUAGUUAUCUUAAUUAAUUACAAUUAGCAGGACCUGCCUGACAACCCAUGCCGAAAGUAAAGGGAAUUUAAUUUGCUAGCACUAUAUUUAACCCUAUAACUUUCCGAGACACCAUAAAACCUGUACAUGGGGGUACUGUUCUACUCGGGAGACUUCGCUGAACACAAAUAUUAGUGUUUCAAAACAGUAAAAUGUAUUACAACGAUGAUAUCGCCAGUAAAAGUGAAGUUUUUUGCAUUUUUCACACACAAACAGCAUUACACGGACAAUAUUAUUGCUGUGAUACUUUUUACUGUUUUGAAACACAAAUAUUUGUGUUCAGCGAAGUCUCCCGAGUACAACAGUACCCCUCAUGUACAGGUUUUAUGGUGUUUUCAAAAGUUACAGCGUCAAAUAUAAGGCUUGCGUUUCAUUUUUUUCACAUUAAAAUUCGCCAGAUUGGUUACGUUGCCUUUGAGACCCUAUGGUAGCCCAAGAAUGAAAAUUACCCCUAUGAUGGCAUACCUUUUGCAAUAGUAGACAACCUAAGGUAUUGCAAACAGGGUAUGUCCAGUCUUUUUUAGUAGCCACUUAGUCACAAACACUGGCCAAAAUUGGCGUUUUUUGCAUUUUUCACACACAAAGAAAUACUAACGCUAACUUUGGCCAGUGUUUGUGACCAAAUGGCUACUAAAAAAGACUGGACAUACCCCAUUUGCAAUACCUUGGGUUGUCUACUAUUGCAAAUGGUAUGCCAUUAUGGGUGUAAAUUUCAUUCCCGGGCUACUAUACAGUCUCAAAGGCAACGUAACCAAUCUGGCGAAUUUCAAUUUCAAAUGUAACGUGCUAUAUUUGACCCUGUAACUUCCCAAAACGCCAUAAAACCUGUAAAUAGGGGGUACUGUCUUACACGUGAGACUUUACUGAAUACAAAUGUGUAUUUUAUUGCAGUAAAAGCAAACAGUAUUAUGACACUGACCGUUAAAAUGUCAUGUAGAACUAAAAAAAUCUAAAUAAAUCGUAUUUUCUCCCAUUUUUUUCAUAUUAAAUUAUGUUUCAUAGCUAAAUAUUUGAUAUUAAAUGAAAGCCCUGUUUCCCCUGAAUAAAAUGAUAUAUAAUAAGGGUGGGUGCAUUUACUAUGAAAGAGGUGUAUUACGGUUGGACAGACAUGUAGCGCAAAUGCCAGGUUUUGUUUACAUUUUGUUUUGUUCACAACGUGUACAUUUGGCUCCGUCCUUAAGAGGUUAAAUAGAAGAAUUGAGAGUACAAUACAUACAUAAUGCAAAUAAAGACAGAGAUUACAUAAUUCAGUGACAGAUGGAUUGGGUUGCAGAUGUGGGGAAGUCCCUCCGGUUGGGGUGCAGUCUCUCAUCGAUCCCUCAAUGAAGUGGUCUGGGUGCCAGGUCCCCCUAGUUUUAACCUUGCAGCUGAAAACAUAGCAGUUUCUCACAUUAAGGGUUAAUCCAGCCUCUAGUGGCUGUCUCACUGACAGUCACUAGAGGCGCUUCCGCGAUUUAUACUGAGUAAAUCACAAAUAUUUGACGCUGGACGUCCUGACAGACCUCCAGCGUAAAAAAAAAGAUCCCCGUAGGAGAGCACUGAGUAAUGCUUUCCUGUGGGCGGGUUUAAAUUCGUGCGCGCCUCUUUCCGCGCAUGCACAUUUGGCUCCACUCAGGAGUUGACGUCGAUGGAGGAGGAGGAGAGGUCACCAGUGCUGAGGGAGCCCAGCGCUGGAUUAAGGUAAACAAAUUAAUGGUUAACCAUUUAUUCUCUGUGGAACGGGGCCCUAGUCACCCAAAUGGUGACUAGGACUCUAUAGCAUCAGGAAUACAUAUUUGUAUUCCUAACGCUAUAGUGUUCCUUUAAAUAAAGGAUACAUACACAAUGCACAUAAAGACGGAGAUUACAGAAUUCAGUGACAGGUGGAUUGGGUUGCAGAUGUGGG